rnacentral:rRNA from 1 species
UUACGGAAGGCAGCAGUGGGGAAUAUUGGGCAAUGGGCGCAAGCCUGACCCAGCGACGCCGCGUGGGGGAUGAAGGCCUUCGGGUUGUAAACCCCUGUCGGGAGGGACGAACGCUCCGCGGUGAAUAGCCGCGGAGCUUGACGGUACCUCCAAAGGAAGCCCCGGCUAACUCCGUGCCAGCAGCCGCGGUAAUACGGAGGGGGCAAGCGUUAUUCGGAAUUACUGGGCGUAAAGCGCGCGCAGGUGGCAUGGCAAGUGGCAGGCGAAAUCCCUCGGCUCAACCGAGGAACUACCUGUCAGACUGCUUUGCUUGAGGCUGGGAGGGGAGAGCGGAAUUCCUGGUGUAGCGGUGAAAUGCGUAGAUACCAGGAGGAACACCGGUGGCGAAGGCGGCUCUCUGGACCAGCUCUGACGCUCAUGCGCGAAAGCGUGGGGAGCAAACAGGAUUAGAUACCCGUGUAGUCCA